UACGAAGGGUGCAAGCGUUAAUCGGAAUUACUGGGCGUAAAGCGUGCGUAGGCGGUUUCUUAAGUCUGCUGUGAAAGCCCCGGGCUCAACCUGGGAAUGGCGGUGGAUACUGAGGAGCUGGAGUACGGUAGAGGAAGGUGGAAUUCCCGGUGUAGCGGUGAAAUGCGUAGAGAUCGGGAGGAACACCGGUGGCGAAGGCGGGUCUCUGGGCAAUUCCUGACGCUGAGGCGCGAAAGCGUGGGGAGCAAACGGG
rnacentral:rRNA from 1 species